UAUAAAACUACAUAUUUUACCUAUUUCACUACCAAAGAGGAUGGCAACAAAAAGCAGCUGAUCAAUGAUUUACACGAGGUUUUGGAAAGACUUCAGAACCAUCCGUUUCCAGUUCUAAGAAAAAAGCAUGGCUAUCUCCCUGUGGUAUGCAAGGCAAAAACUAACACCAGCUGGAAUUUCUAAAACUGAUCUAGUCAGUCUGUUUAGAGCAAUUCAUCAUCUUUUAUAUAGGUACUGAAUCACUCUCUCAAUUUAAUAUGAUUCCUGUCUUUUCAGUGUGAUCCAGGAGAGCAGUGUGCACUAAGGAAAGGCUCCCGGAUUGGAAAACUAUGUGACUGUUCUUUGCCAAGAACAUGCAACUCUUUUCUACACCGCUGUUUAUGAUUCUCUGCAUCUGCAAGAAACUUUUUAAACACUGUAAAAGCAAAAGGAGGGGAAAAAAAACUUCUGAUGUAUUUUAAGCUAUAGUACAGUCUUCAGUGUUGUUUUCUUACAUGUUUACUGACCAAAUGUAAUAUUUAAUCAUUUAAAAUUCAGCGCUGAGACCUGAUCUAUUAAAUGUUUUGUUAUUUGUGUA